rnacentral:lncRNA from 1 species
AUGCCCCAACAAACUACAGAAGAUGUUAAAAUCAUACGAUUUUCAGGAACACCUAAGUGUGUUUACAAAUUCCAUGCAUAUCCACUGGAUUUCUUCAAAACAGAAAGCCAUUGUGAUGCAACACAGAAAUUACUGGAGACCCAGCAUGUGGAUGACAGCAGCAGCACAAAAGGAGCACACCACCUUAACAGCAGGCUUGGACUCGAGGUUAAGAACUUCAAGACUAGAAUCAUGAGAAGUUGGGUUUGUAACUCUCCCAUCACAGAAAUAGGAUACUAGAAGUAUGCAAUUUUUAAGGAACUUGGACUUCUCCAUUUGGAAUGUGCAUUUAAAUCGCUGAGAUUAAAGGAGCCCCCUCAGAGACUCCGUGAACAAAACUGCAGGAACCCUACUGGAAGACAAAUAGAGCUCAUUCUUGUUCUAAUAGGCAUGCUCACAAUAACAGGGCACUGCAUUAAAAUUGUUACAGAUAAAUGACACUAUGCUUAUUUUGAAUGAAUCAGGAUGAAGAACUGAAUUUCUAAAUCCUAGCUCUCCAAAUCCAGGCCAAAGCUUCUAUGAGAACACACACCUCUACAGCCAUAACAUUCUAGGCGUGCAAGAAAAAGCAUAAAUAUGCGUACUUCAGUCUAUAUUUGCUGUGAGGAUGACAGUGCAACAAGCACAAAGAGGGGGAGGAAUGAUGGCAAUGGGAUGGAAAGUCUCCUUUUUCAGCCCUCUGAUAGCUUCCCCUUGACAUACUCACCGAUACUGUUAAAAGUCUGGAAAUACAAGAACCGUGCAUUUCUAACAGUAUCUCCAAGACAAUUGUAACUGUAUCUCCAAAACUGAUUGUAAACCUCUCCAUUCUCCCUUGUUUUACAGUCAGGCUAAAUUCAGUAAGCCAAAAGAAUUAUGAGCCUUCUGCAUCUGUAGCCCACUCACUGAGACAGACGGGCACUGAAGUUAUGCUCUUUUUCCUACUUAUGUUGCAGACUAAAACCAUUCCAUUUUACACAACAACUUACUUUCUUCCUACUUAUCCUGAGAAUAUCAUAACAGUAGGUUGACACUUCAGAGACAUGAAAAACACAACUGUGCUGAGGAACUAAGGCAAAUGACAAAACCCAUGCAAUUCUCCCCCCCCUUGCCCCAGCAGCCAUUUUAACAUUUAUCUGGAAACUACAUCUUAAAAGUGGCAUCUUGUAGGCAUCAAGGUGCUCCCCAUCAGCUUGAUCAGCGACACGCAAGCUCUGUCUUGACUUGUGGGCUUUCACCUACUUGGUUUCCAAUGCCGCCA